GAAGAAAUGAGUGUGUUAUUCCAU
rnacentral:siRNA from 1 species